UCAGCGUCUGCGCGCGCGCGCACAAACCGGGCCGGCCGGUUCGGCGCGGGCGCGGUUGGGACUGGGCCGGUUCGGCCCAAAACGGCCGGGCCGGUCCGGGUUUCCCCUUUUUUUUUCCUUUUAGCCCUUUUCUUUUUCUGUUUUUCUUAUUUCUUUGAUACCUUUUGAUUUUGAACUCCAAAUUGGUCCAAAUAAAUUCCAAAAUUUUUGUAAAACCAUGUUCUAUCAUGAUACAACUUUUGGGAGUAGUUUUCCCUCAAAAUUAAAUAUCUAAAAAUACAUUUGCCCUAUAAAUGCCUUUAGGGCUAUAUAACUAUUUAAAUAAAAUAGUUUUUCAACUCCAAAAAUUAUGGGAUAGCUUAUAUAUGCAAUAAACCCCUUUUAUAAGUAAACCUUAUUGGUUUGAAGAUCCAAAGCUCAAAUGGGUGUAAACCCUUGGGUUUAAAUUGAAAUGAAAACUUUUAAAGCCUUUUGAGAUUUAAAUUUGAUUCAAACAAUGCAAUUAUGGCA
rnacentral:lncRNA from 1 species